UCCCCAGUGGCUCAGCAGUAAAGAAUCUGCUUGCAAUGCAGGAGACACAGGUUCGAUCCCUGAAUGGGGAA
rnacentral:tRNA from 1 species